AACGAACGCUGGCGGCAUGCCUAACACAUGCCAGUCGAACGAGACCUUCCGGUCUAGUGGCGCUCCGCUACGUACCGCCUGGUAACCUGCCCUUCAGUACCCAACACCUCCCCGAAAGGUGUGCUAAGACCGGAUUAUGUCUUACGUCCUAGGAUGUAUGGCCUUUGGUUGGGCCCGCGAUGGAUUCGCUAGUUGGUAGGGUACUAGCCUCCCAUGGAGUUGAUCCAUAGCUGGUCGGAUAGGAUGAUCAGCACGACUGGGACUGAGACACGGCCUAGAACGCUACGGGAGGCAGCAGUGGGUAAUAUUGGAAAAGGGGCGAAAGCGUGAUCCAGCAGUGCCGCGGAAGUGAUGAAGGCCUUAGGAUUGUAAAGCUCUUUUUGCCGGGAUGAUAAUGACGGUACCGGGAGAAUAAGCGCCGGCUAACUCCGUG
rnacentral:rRNA from 1 species